rnacentral:tRNA from 1 species
ACUAAAAUGGCAGAAAAGUGCAUUAGGUUUAAGCCCUAAAAAUGAAAACCCAGUUUUCUUUUAGUU